rnacentral:rRNA from 1 species
UAAAUUGAGAGUUUGAUCCUGGCUCAGGACGAACGCUGGCGGCGUGCCUAAUACAUGCAAGUCGAACGAAGCUUUCUUUCACCGAAUGCUUGCAUUCACCGAAAGAAGCUUAGUGGCGAACGGGUGAGUAACACGUAGGCAACCUGCCCAAAAGAGGGGGAUAACACUUGGAAACAGGUGCUAAUACCGCAUAACCAUGAACACCGCAUGAUGUUCAUGUAAAAGACGGCUUUCGCUGUCACUUUUGGAUGGGCCUGCGGCGUAUUAACUUGUUGGUGGGGUAACGGCCUACCAAGGUGAUGAUACGUAGCCGAACUGAGAGGUUGAUCGGCCACAU